rnacentral:misc_RNA from 1 species
UCUCCGUAGGUGAACCUGCGGAGGGAUCAUUAACGAGUUCCCCUUAAACGGGUAGAAUUCCCACCCUAUGUUAUCAUUACCUUUGUUGCUUUAGCGGGCCGUCUCAGCCUCGGUCAGGCUACCGGCUCCGGCUGGUAAGCGCCCGCCAGAGGAGCCCAAACUCUGAAUAUUAGUGUCUUCUGAGUACUAUAUAAUAGUUAAAACUUUCAACAACGGAUCUCUUGGUUCAG